CCCUCCUGCUCCACCCACAGCGCCCGCGGCUCCAUCCUCGGAUUCGGGGCGUCGCUGUCGAACCGCACGAACUGCGUGUCGUCCACGUAGCCGACGGUGAUGAAGCGGGGCUCCCCAAGGCCGGGCCGGGACACGGCGGCUUCAACAGAACCUAAACCCCAAACCUUCAGAUGUUCAAGCUGGAUUUAGAAGAGCCAGAGGAGCCAGAGAUCAAAGUGCCAACCUCCCCUGGAUCACGGAAUAAUCAAGAGAGAAAACAUCUACUUCUGCUUUAUGGACUAUGCCAAAGCGUUUGACUGUGUGGGUCAAAACAAACAGUGGAAAAUUCUUCAAGAGAUGGGAAUACCAGACCACCUCACCUGCCUUCUUGAGAAAACUGUGUGCAAGUCAAGAAGCUACAGUUAGAACUGGACUUGGAACAAAAGACUGGUUCCAAAUUGGGAAAGGAGGAUGUCAAGGCUGUAUACUGUCACCCUGCUCAUUUAACUUACAUGUAGAGUACAUCAUGUGACAUGCUGGGCUGGAUGAAGCACAAGCUGGAAUAAAGAUGGCCAGGAGAAAUAUCAAUAACCUCAGAAUGCAGAUGACACCACCCUUAUGGCAGAAAGCAAAAAGGAGCUAAAGAGCCUCUUGAUGAAAGUGUAAGAGAAGAGGGAAAAGUUGGCUUCCAGCUCAACAUUCAGAAAACUAAGAUCAUGGCAUCUGGUCCCAUUGCUUCAUGACAAAUAGAUGGGGAAACAAUAGACAGUGACAGACUUUAUUUUCUUGGACUGCAAAAUCACUGCAGAUGGUGACUGCAGCCAUGAAAUGAAAAGAUGCUGGCUACUUGGAAGAAAAGCUACAACCAACCUAGACAACAUAUUAAAAAGCAGAGACAUUACUUUGCCAACAAAGGUCCAUCUAGACAAAGCCAUGUAUUUUCCAGUAGUCAGGUAUGGAUAUAACAGAUGGACUGUAAAGAAAGCUGGGCACUGAAGAAUUGAUGCUUUUGAACUGUGGUGUUGGAGAAGACUCUUGAGAGUCCCUUGGACUGCAAAGAGAUCAAACCAGUCGAUCUGAAAGGAAAUCAGUCCUGAAUAUUCAUUGGAAGGAGUGAUGCUGAAGCUGAAGCUCCAAUACUUUGGCCACCUGAUGUAAAGAACUGACUCAUUGAAGAAGACUCCUAUGCUGGGCAAGAUUGAAGGCAGGAGGAGAAGGGGAUGACAGAGGAUAAGAUGGUUGGAUGACAUCGCUGACUCGAUGGACAUAUGACAUGACUCAAAUACACGUGAAAGAAGGGAAAAGAGACAGCAGAGCUGAGACAGCAGGGACCACUGUGCCAAAUACACUGGCCCAAGAGCCUGGAAAAGAGACCUGUCCGGCUGCCGGCCAUGAAGAUGCUUCCUGGAGAUCAAAGGACAGGAUGUGAACUGGAGCCUGGAGGCCACAAGGGUGACAAGGAGAUCAACCAUGAGUCUGGGCCGUGGGUCCCCCUAACAUUUUCCUGAGACAUGAAAGCGACAUUCCCCCUCCCCAGACAUACAACACCAUACCAAGGACACCAAGGGUGGACCCUCCGGUCCAAGCAUCACCCUCCCCACCCUCUGAAACCUUCAGGGUGCCUUCUUCUCCUCCCAGUUCUAAGAGCCGAGGACCCUAGCCUCCUGACUCUUCAUCCCCUUCAUGGACUUAAUAGAGAGAGACCUGCUGUCUGGAUCCCUCAGGCCUGAUCCCUCCACCUCCAAACCAUGAAAUGAAAAGGUUCUGAGCUCCUGUACCCAAAUCUAAUUUCUGGCUCCGAGAAUGACCCAGGGUUUGGGGUCAUGGGUCCCAGAGGGGAGGCUUCCCAGGGCCCCACAGGCCACAGCUGAACCAGGCCUCCAGUUGCGUAGAUUCAGCUGGUUCUGGCGAAAGCCCGAAAAAAAAAAUAUAGAACAAAUCGCUGCAGGAGUCUUCUUAGCCCAAAUAAGUGUGGAGUCUGGGCCGUGUGCGGGGAAUUUGCCUUUUUUGGAGGUCCUGCGCCGCAGCAGGCAGCGCUCCUCCCGCUGCAGAAUCCCCCUCUCCCAGAUCUUGGUCAGACCCCGAGACCGAGACCGUAAGAGCUGCGGACUGCUUGAGUUCCUAAGGCCCCUACCAUCUGAGCCUGAGAAAAUCAGGCCGGGCUGGUCGGUAAAGACCCUGAAGCCAGGAGUGGACGCUGAUUGGCUUCUAGAAACCGGAUACGCAAUGGGAGUGAGAACUGGGACCUCGUCAUGAGUAUCCGGGCAGGAAGACCCGACACAGUUUGGGCGGCGAGCAAGAGAAACCCCAGGGAGGUGGGGAAUCCCUUGAGGUUUGACUCCCCCGUCCAGACAUCACCUUCUGGCCUAAGACCCUGAGAGCCUUGCCCAGGGACCUGGGACUUUGCCCUGACCACUCUCCUACCGCCUGGAGGACCCUGAAAACUUGACCUAUCAGUUGAGUCUAUGAAUCCACCAAGAUAGCUACUGCCAAACACACCUCUGGCUCCAUAAAGACAGAGCAGCGAGGACAAGAGACUCAUGACUGCCAUAAUGCCUGUCAUCUGAGAGCUUUCAGAAACCCAGCAGGACCGUCCGGCUGAGGCAGAGCUGGGAAUGAGGAAAAGGAACAAAGGCUAAAUGAAAAAGCCUGGGGCUGUGCCAGGAGGCCUUCUCUCAGGGUCUCAGCCCACACUGCUCUGGUUUCGGGAAGACCAGGAAUUGAACUCAGGCUGAGGGCAGUGAAAGCACAGAGUCCUACCCACUGGACCACAAGGGAAUUCUUGACAGACUGAUAGGCUUUUCAAUCCAGAACUUCUUCCAGCGGUAUCUAGAGAUAAUGAAGUCACACAGACAGCAGGAAACCAUCACUAACAAGCAUGGACAACAACUUGAUGAAGAAAUGUGCUUUACAAAAUGUGAGGGAAGUGCAGCCAGGAGAGGCGGCUGGGAACCAAACAGGAAUAAAAAGAACAAAAGGACACUGGGUCUUAGCAACAAAUGUGUGUUUUAAACUUUUUCAAAUACUCUGCCAUAAUCAAUUUUUCAAUUCUCCCUAUCCUCUUAGCAUCCUAAGUUCCAAGACAAUAAUUUUUCUAGGAUGUUCUAUGGAAUACCUUUCAUAUUACACUUUCUAGAGGAACCUCUCUUCUUCCAAAUAACCCCUUUCAGCCCUUACCAAAUUUCAAUAAGUUUUGGUGAUAGAAAGAAAAAACAAAGGAACACCUAAGUGGUUAAAAAAAUAAAGCAAGCAGCACUUACCUGCUUGUUAUGUCACUUGGGUCCUAGAAAGGAAGAGAAGACAGACUGUCAUGGAAAUAAGGUUCCCAGGAGCUGACACCAUUCCUUACGAUGAGCUCGCUGGGAAUAGGUACACAAUAGGACUGUACAGAGAAUUUUCUGGUGGGCUUGGACCUGUGCUAUUCUCCACUGUCGUAUCAGUUUGUGAGGACACAUGUUUCCCCUUCCUUUCCUCCAUUUGAGUCUAGAAUAUCCUCUCCAGGAAAACUUUCUUGAUCUGUUAAGACUUCUACUGUCUAUCAGAUUAAGACUGAAAUCUCAGAAUGCCUUUGAAGGCCUCUACUCAGCUGGCUCCAUCUUACCUAGCCCAUCUUCCCUUUAAUUUCUUCCUCACUUAGGCUGACUCCUCCAGAAAGGUGGCCCCUUUCACUCUAUGUAUCCUUCCUAUCUUCCAAACUCUCUUCCUCAGCACCUGCGGUCUUCCCAGGUGGCUCAAUGGUAGAGAAUCCUCUCGUCAGUGCAACAGCCACAGGAGACUCAGGUUCGAUCCCUGGGUCAGGAAGAUCCCCUGGAGGAGGAAAUGGCUAACCCAGUCUAGUAUUCUUGCCUGGAAAACCCCAUGAACAGAGGAGACUGGCGGGCUACAGCCCCUGGGGUCGCAGAGAGUCGGAAAGGACUGACAUGCAUGCUGCACCUACACCCACCUUUUUAUUAUCACACAUUAAGUUUAUUAUCACAUUCAUGUGUUUCAUUUUAACCAAUGUACCUCCACAAAUGGAAUGUUCAACUCCUCUUUCCUGCUAACCCAAAUCUUUACAUUUUCCUCAAGGCUACCAUUACAAGCUGCUUCAUCCAUGAAGCUUUUCCUGACUAGCCUUUUCCAGAAUUCCUGUGGCUUCCAGUCUGAUUAUAAGAUUUAAAACUCAAUUAUUUCUUAUAAUUAUAAAUGUACAUGUAUGGAUGUAAGAGUUGGACCAUAAAGAGAGUUGAGCGUCAAAGAAUUGAUCUUUGAACUGUGGUGUUGGAGAAGACUCUUGAGGGUCCCUUGGACUGCAAGGAGAUCAAACCAGUCCAUCCUAAAGGAGAUUAGUCCUGAACAUUCAUUGGAAGGACUGAUGCUGAAGCUGAAGCUCUAAUACUCUGACCACCUGAUGCAAAGAACUGACUCAUUGGAAAAGCCCCUGAUGCUGGGAAAGAUUGAAGGCAGGAGGAGAAGGGGACAGCAGAGGAUGAGAUGGUUGGAUGGCACGACCAACUCAAUGGACAUGAGUUUGAACAAGCUCCGGGAGUUGGUGAUUGACAGGGAAGCCUGGCGUGCUGCAGUCCAUGGGGUUGCAAAGAGUUGGACAUGACUGAGUAACUGAACUGAAUUGACUGACAGAUCUUACUAUCUCAGUGCAUAUUGCAUAUCUGUGCAUAUUGCAGUCUCCUGCCCACUGUGAUUUGGGACUUACAACCUAUCGGUUUGCUCAUUAACUUGUCAAUGAACUCAACAAAGGAGAACAAAACCUUGUCUCUCCUGACUCCUGGUCCAGAUCUCAUGCUAAUGGAGGGGCCAGACUGCAGCCUGGAGCAAGAGGACUUGGGUACAAUUUAACUGGUCCAUCACCUGCAAAAGUUCAAGUGCUGGCUGCUGAGCCUUCUUCUCUAGCUCAGAAAUCAGGGUCUUCAGCCGGAUGACCUCCUCAGAGCCCUUGGUGACAUGGCUGUUCCUCCCUUCAGUGAGCUGUUGCUCCAUUCCCUCCAGCCACUCCAACAGGUGCUGCUCCCUUUCUCUCAGGAACUGAUAGCCCUGCUCAAACACUGAUGCUAUGUCUUGCUUGUGGUUCUGGAAUUUUGCCUACAGUAAAGGCAGAAAGACAAAGAGGAUUUCUCCUGAGAGACUGGAAACAUUUGUGAGAUCUGAGGAUAAGUUCAGAACAAGAAUCCCUUCUAUCACACCCACUUUCUCCUCAUCCCUCAUUAUGCCCCCUCCCCUCAACCUACACACGCACACACACACACACACACACACACACACACACUCUCUCUCUCUCUCUCUCCCACCCAACACAGGUACACAGAACAUUCACCCGAAAUGUCUCGUACCAACAGGGCCUGAAUCUCAUCUUCUCCUGUAGAUUGAAAAUUCUGAAUCCUGUCCUGGUCUCCCUUCAGAAUCUUCAGAUGGUUUAGAAUUCUACCCUAUGGGGGGAAAAAAAAACCAUGAAUAAUCUCAAGAUGAAGAUGAAAAUGCCUUCAAUAAGAAAAGACACCUGAAAAAUGAUUUCAGAGUGAAAUCAGAUAGUCUUGAUCUUAUGUAGUGUUAUAAGAUAACUAGGUUGGAAUAGUUUUCAUCCUAGUUAAUGAUGAAGAAACAAAGUGAGUGCUAUGUUAGCUUAGAGUAGCUUCUCAGAAGUGAGAUAAAAUGCAUGUUAAACUUAUACUGUACUGUAUGUCAAUUACAUCUCAAUAAAACUGGGAGAAAAAUAAGUGAGAUAAAAUUUAUUAUCAUUACAACUA